AUCCGGGUUACACCGUCCCAUAAGGGACAG
rnacentral:sRNA from 1 species